rnacentral:misc_RNA from 1 species
GAUGAAGAACGUAGCGAAAUGCGAUAAGUAAUGUGAAUUGCAGAAUUCAGUGAAUCAUCGAAUCUUUGAACGCACGUUGCGCCCGCCAGUAUUCUGGCGGGCAUGCCUGUUCGAGCGUCAUUACAACCCUCAGGCCCCCGGGCCUGGCGUUGGGGAUCGGCGGAGCCCCCCGUGGGCACACGCCGUCCCCCAAAUACAGUGGCGGUCCCGCCGCAGCUUCCAUCGCGUAGUAGCUAACACCUCGCGACUGGAGAGCGGCGCGGCCACGCCGUAAAACACCCAACUCUUCUGAAGUUGACCUCGAAUCAGGUAGGAAUACCCGCUGAACUUAAGCAUAUCAAUAAGCGGAGGA